rnacentral:tRNA from 1 species
GGGGAUUUAGCUCAGUGGUAGAGCACUUGCCUAGCACGCACAAGGCCCUGGGUUCGGUCCCCAGCUCCA